rnacentral:lncRNA from 1 species
ACAAGAAAAAGAAAAGAAGAAACUGAUUGUGCCAAAAAGGGCCAAGGCCACACACAGCCUGUUCCCUGUACAACUGCACCCAAUGUGUGCCCAAGGACAAGGCCAUUAAGUUCGUCAUUAAAAACAAAGUAGAGGCCAUAGCCAUCAGGGCCAUUUCUGAAGUGAGUGUCUUUAACACCUGUGCUUCCCAGCUGUAUGAGAAACUGCAUUGUGAUAUGAGUUGUGCCAUUCAUGGAAAAGUAGUCAGGAGUCAUUCUCAUGAAGCCCAGAAGGAUCCAAUACCCCUCCCUGAUUUAGACCUAAUGGUGCUGUUCCAUGACCUCCGCGAAAGCCCGUAUAA